UGGGGAAUAUUGGGCAAUGGGCGAAAGCCUUACCCAGCAACGCCGCGUGAGGGAAGAAGGUUUUCGGAUUGUAAACCUCUGUCCUGGGGGACGAAGGAAGUGACGGUACCCCGGGAGGAAGCCCCGGCUAACUACGUGCCAGCAGCCGCGGUAAUACGUAGGGGGCGAGCGUUGUCCGGAAUUAUUGGGCGUAAAGGGCGCGUAGACGGCCGAGUAAGUUAUAGGUGAAAGCCCAUCUUUCAAGGAUGGAAUUGCCUGUAAUACUGCCUGGCUUGAGUGCAGGAGAGGGAAGCGGAAUUCCUAGUGUAGCGGUGAAAUGCGUAGAUAUUAGGAGGAACACCAGUGGCGAAGGCGGCUUUCUGGACUGUAACUGACGUUGAGGCUCGAAAGCGUGGGGAGCAAACAGGAUUAGAUACCC
rnacentral:rRNA from 1 species